rnacentral:rRNA from 1 species
AACGAACGCUGGCGGCAUGCCUAACACAUGCAAGUCGAACGAGACCUUCGGGUCUAGUGGCGCACGGGUGCGUAACGCGUGGGAACCUGCCCUUAGGUUCGGAAUAACUCCCCGAAAGGGGUGCUAAUACCGGAUAAUGUCUUCGGACCAAAGAUUUAUCGCCUUUGGAUGGGCCCGCGUUGGAUUAGCUAGUUGGUAGGGUAAAAGCCUACCAAGGCGACGAUCCAUAGCUGGUCUGAGAGGAUGAUCAGCCACACUGGGACUGAGACACGGCCCAGACUCCUACGGGAGGCAGCAGUGGGGAAUAUUGGACAAGGGGCGAAAGCCUGAUCCAGCAAUGCCGCGUGAGUGAUGAAGGCGUUAGGGUUGUAAAGCUCUUUUACCCGGGAUGAUAAUGACAGUACCGGGAGAAUAAGCUCCGGCUAACUCCGUG